UGCAUCUUCUGAGAAAGGGGAGGAACAGGCUAAUAAUACAGCUCUGUUACAGAAGUAUCCUUUGACAACUGACUUCAGGGUUCUGAAAGGCCUUGCAGCCUGCAUCGCCUGAUUGGUUCUAGGUGGGACAUCGUGGGACCUUGACUUUGUGGCAGGAGUGAAACAGUUAACAUCGUCAGGGAGCAGACAGGAGCCAUGGACUUCUCAACCCCCUGCCAAUGAGUGAUUACCUACCAAACUUAACCUUCAACCAGACUACUUCUGAGGAGUCCAACUGUACUAGCUAUUUCUUAGGAUAGAGAGCAGGUGGGCAGGGAGGACUUUAAAAGUCACACUAGAGCUGAAUCUUGAGAGAGACUUUCCAGGUAGGAAGGUGAUGGGCAAGGAGGACUGGUCUAUUCUGGAACAUGCUAGUUCUCUCUUUUGACAGGUAAACAGAAGCUUUGGAAAUACAAGGUCACAUGAUGAAGAGAAUUUUAAGGGAUGCUAAUGAGUUUGAGCUUUGAUACAACUAAAUGGUCCAGGGUAAUAAUCUCAGUUCUCUUAAGAAAGACCUUCUGGAGUAACUUUUGGAAAAAAUUUUCAUCUUUUUUUCCCCUAUAGCUAAUUUUUUCUACUCUUAUCUUGGUCAGCAUCACUUCAGUUACCAGUUCUUCAAUGUCCAGUCUCUUUCCUUUCUAAACUUAUUACAGAUUCCUGAGUCCUCCAGGUCCAACAACUCUGUUAACAUUUCUCUUUCUGGGCUUCAUUGGACUCUACUUAUCCCCUCAAAACUAUCUUUCACACUGCUUGAUCUUUUUAAAGCAGAGUUCCAAAGCCUUUAACAGCUCAGACUUACAUGGUGAAGCUUCCCAGCCUGUAGUUUGGCAGUCAGGUUCCUGCACCUUCCUCUACCUCCCCAUAUUUCCAUUCAAAAACUUUCAGGCACACCGUCCUGGUCUUACUAAGCACAUUACUAAGCCACCAACACACUUGGGCUUCCACUGCUAGCCUCCCACCCUCCUGUUUUCUGCACCUUUUUCUGCUUGAUGCCUUCCUCUUUCAUGAAGGCCUUCUUUGUACAUGAUGUUUUAUACGGUCAAAUUUUUUUUUUGUUUUUUACAUGUCCGUAAGCCAUCUGCGAAUAGAGAUCUUUCAUGCCUGAAGGGAAGAGUAGGAUGACAGGGAAAACCCUGAGGACUACUCCCAACUCUGAUAUUCAAUAGCCUGGGAAAUCUCCAUCAACCUCUCUGGCUUUUUGUUCCCUCAUCUGUCAAAUGCCAAGUUGUGCAAGAGUGGUUUUUGGUCUGGACUUGCUUCUGAUGUCCCCUUCCUUUCCUUGAGCAUGACAAGCAUCCAAAAGUGAAUGAUGGUGAGGUCUCAGGACAGACUUCCACAAAGGACACUGACAAGCUAGAGGCAUUUCUUCUAGGUUUUUAUGGGCCCUUCAUAGGCCUUGUCUGCCUCUGUAUCCCCUCAUGCUCAAACAGGCAAACAGAGACCAUGACGCCAAAGCUACAAGUUUGGGAGCCAGGUGUCCGGGACUGACCCAGAGCUGCUUCCCACUGUGCUAUUUCAGGCUCUUAGGACUUGGGACUGUGGAAUGUCAGCAUUGGAAGACAGGGAUCUUAAAGCUCAGCUGACUCAGCUCCUGGUACUUGAAUCCCCUCUGACACUAGCAUUGGUGUCCUUAUUGAGUGUAUGACCAUAGAUCAUUGCAAGAUUGCCACCAAGUGAGGGCCCAGUGUGUGAAUACCUCUUCAGUUAGUCUGUUCAGCUCAGAGGUGUUGACUACUAGAAAUACUCCGCUCACACUAUGCUUAAAGAUCUUUUAGAGCCUAUGAUACAAAGGCAGAUGGCACAUUCUACUUGUAUGUGAAUCCAGGAUCCACCAUUUUAGCUGACUAGCGUUAGGCAAGUUACUUAGUCCUCAGUGCCUCAGUUUUCUCAUCUGAAAAAUGGGCAUAACAAUAGUACAGCCUCAUAAAGCUGUUGUAUGGAUUAGAUUUUAAUGCUUGAGAAAGGUUUUUUUAAGUGGCUGGCAUAUAAAAGUUAUAUAUAUAUAUGUAUAUGUAUAUAUAUAUAAUAUAUAUAUUAUAGAUAUAACUCAUUGUGCUUGGCUUUAUUGCACUUUGGAUACGGUGUUUUGUUUUGUCUUUUUACAGAAUGAAGGUUUGUGGCAAUCCUGCUUCAAAAAAGUCUACUGGCAUAAUAUUUCCAACAGCAUUUGCUCACUUUGUGUUUCUGUCAUAUUUUGGUAACUCUUGCAACAUUUCAAACUUCUUCAUUAUUUGUUUUGGUGAUUUGUGUUGAGUGAUUAUGACUUGCUGAAAGCUCAGAUGAGGAUUAGCAUUUUUUCGUAAUAAAAUGUUUUUAAAUUAAGGUAUAUACGUUAUGUUUUUAGACAGUGCAUUGCACACUUAAUAGACCUACAGUAUAGUAAAAACAUAACUUUACUAGGAAACCCAAAAAGUCAUUUACCUUUAUUGCAGUAUUUGCUUUAUUGUGGUUUGAAACCAAAUCUGCAAUAAAUCUGGCAUGUGCCUGUAUAUAUAAACAUGAAUAUAUUAUUAUUUUUUUGAGAGACAGAGUGCAUGUGUGCAAGUGGGGGAAGGGCAGAGGGAGAGAGAGAAUCUCAGGGAGGCUCCAUGGCCGGUGUGAGCCUGAUACGGGGCUCGAUCUCAUGAAUUUGAGUCAUGACCUGAGCUGAAAUCAAGAGUCAGUUACUUAACUGAGCCACCCAGGCGCCCCUGAAUAUAUUAUUUAAUAAUAUAGUUAUAUACUAUAUUAUAUGUAAUUAUGUAUCCUGUAUAUAAUAUAUAUAAAAUAAAUAUAUAAUCAUAUGUGCACAUAUAUAAAAGCUACUAUUAUUAUUGUUCUUGUUAAUGUAACUUAACAGAGACAAAAUCCCUCAACAGUGAAAGGAGAUGUCAAGUGUGAGUCUUUCCGGAAAUAAGUGAAGGAUCUUUGCCUUGUAUGAUGCAUGUGCUUUACAUGGCAUCUUACUCAAUCCUCACAAACAGUAUACAUGGGAGAUAUUAUCAAUUCCUGUUUUACAGAGGAUGAAACUUGGGCUCAGAUCAUCAGGCAGGUUGCCCAAGGGCCAUCCACAUGGUGAGUGGCGAGGUGGGUCUGCACCCAAACUUUAUUUCAAAGGCACUAAUUGCAGUGACCUCAAUUCCCACUGAGACAGACACGGCUGAAACCUGCUCUUUCCCUGAGCAGCGGCUGGUACCACUACCUUCUUGCCUGAGGAAGGGUGUGGAUGAGAGAAUUUACUGCAUAACUGAGGAGAAGAAUCCUGGAGGAGAAUGUCUAGCAAGUGUGAGAAAUAGAGUGUGGGGCUGCAAGGUCCUGGGCAACGGGAAGAAUAUUGGCAUCCUGCCUUUGUCCCAUUGGCUCCCCUUAAAUGCACAGUGUCGCUCCAUGUCCAGAUGCCUCCAACUCCCAGACCCCUCACCCAAGAUGACCAGCUUGCCCCCCGUGAGCUGUUCUCACCACCUCGGGCUGUGCGGCAAUGCCCUUCCCAUCCUUUACUCUCCAUUCUCCCAUCUGCCAGCAGAGCAACCUCUCCUUUAAAACCUUCUCCUUGCACAAUGGAAUGACUGGCUUCCUGCCAAUGCCAAAAUAGUCUGAGCUCUAUUUAUCUGUUCAAUGCCCAGGACAGGAAAUGUCACAGUAAAGCUUCAGUUCUCUUAAAUUUGGAUGAGUCAGGCUAGUGCUCAGCAAAUGGCAAAAAUACUUGCUUUUUUAUCUCUUUUGAAGAAUUGAGGUGAGGAGGUGAGGAGGGAACCUAUGGCAUAGAGAGGAAUGAAAAGCUAUGGGUCUUUUAGUCUUUUGGGCAUAAGCUUCAGAAAAUUCCUGUGUAUGGGAGUGUUGACUCAGUUGGUAACCUAGCACUAGGGGCUUCAGCUUAUCCAUAGGGACUAAUAAGCACCUAGGUCUCCUGAUAACUCUAAUGGGAAACUUAGAUCACUGGAAUUCUAUCAAUUCACCACUAAGGCAUUAUAACCUUACCUCCACAGUGGGGUAUUUCUUGGCCCAAGUACUAUUGGCUGGGUCUGGAAUUUCUUUACUACACCACUGAGGUCUGAGGGCUGAAAGGAGAACAAAUACCCUAUAGAUAAAGAAAACAAUGACAUCUGGUUAAGCAUGCACACACACACAAUGGCAUGGAAGCAUCGGUUCUUAGUGUGGUGAUUUCACGGUAGGAGUGUGCAAAUGAAUAAAAUAAAAAACACUGAAGGAGAAAGAUGAUGCAUCAUCCAAGGCUAGACUAGUUUUCUCUGAAGUUCAGAUAGAUGAUAGAGUCAUGAUGCAACCAUUUGGGGUUUGCUAAAUAAAUUAUGGAACUUUUACUCAACAAAUGUUUAGCUGUCACUGUCCAGCCAUGCAUUCAUUCAACAAGCACCGACUGAACCCCUAAUGUAUGAUGAGCACAUGCCAUAUCCUGGGGAUGAAAAAACAAACAAGAAGACAUGGUUCCCACCUGUGGAGAACUUACUAUUUAGUUUAAAAUGUUUAUAAAGAGUUUGUUAUAUGCUAACUAACUUGGAUGUAAAUCUAAAAAAAUUUUUUUAAAGUUUGUAAUAACAGGUAAAGUAUUAUGCUAAAAGGAAAAAAGGAAAACAAAAACAAAAACCACCACAACAAAGAACAAAACAGGAACAAUAACAAUGUUAAAAAAUGCCUAGGAAAAAAAUACCAUAUGGAAAUAUCCAAACUGUUAACAGUAGUUGUACUUGAUGAUCAGAAGAACUAUGGGUCUUUUUUUCUUUAUCCUCUCUGGUUUUUUAAAAAUACCUUAAAAUGUGUUUAUAUUACUUUUAUGACAUGAAAGGAAAAAAGUCCUAAAAAUGUUUCUAAUAAAUGCAUGUGAGUUAAAUGUUUUGAUUAUUUUUAAAAAAUUCAAAGCAAGUAUGAAACAUUUUUGAAGAAUUGGCUUUAAUAAGCUUUGAUAUUUAAUAAGAAUGGAAAGCUUUCGGGAUGUUUAGCCCUUUGAAGCAAGUGAUGUGUCUGUGUGACUGGUUUCUCUCUGAACAACUGUGAGCAGAGGUACCUGUGACCCAGUACAGAUCAUACAGAUGAGGACAAUGUCCAAGGGAUGCUCAGCCACUAAAGCAGAAGACAACGGGGUCCCUAAUGACUGUGUGGAGCAUGGCUGCCAACCGACCUGGAUGACUUACUUCAGGACUAUUAUGUGGGAGAGAAAUAAACUAUUUUUAAAGCCAUA